UACAGAGGUCCCAAGCGUUGUUCGGAUUCAUUGGGCGUAAAGGGUGCGUAGGUGGCGCCGUAAGUCGGGUGUGAAAUUUCGGAGCUUAACUCCGAAACUGCAUUCGAUACUGCGGUGCUUGAGGACUGGAGAGGAGACUGGAAUUCAUGGUGUAGCAGUGAAAUGCGUAGAGAUCAUGAGGAGGACCAGUGGCGAAGGCGGGUCUCUGGACAGUUCCUGACACUGAGGCACGAAGGCCAGGGGAGCAAACGGG
rnacentral:rRNA from 1 species